rnacentral:rRNA from 1 species
UAGUCCACGCCGUAAACGAUGAGAGCUAGUUGUCGGUAUGCAUGCAUAUCGGUGACACAGCUAACGCAUUAAGCUCUCCGCCUGGGGAGUACGGCCGCAAGGUUAAAACUCAAAGAAAUUGACGGGGGCCCGCACAAGCGGUGGAGCAUGUGGUUUAAUUCGACGCAACGCGAAGAACCUUACCUACACUUGACAUGCCCUGUUUGGUUACCAGAGAUGGUUUCCUUCAUUUAGUUGGCAGGUGCACAGGUGCUGCAUGGCUGUCGUCAGCUCGUGUCGUGAGAUGUUGGGUUAAGUCCCGCAACGAGCGCAACCCUCAUCCUUAGUUGCCAGCAGGUUUGGCUGGGCACUCUAAGGAAACUGCCGGUGGCAAGCCGGAGGAAGGUGGGGAUGACGUCAAGUCCUCAUGCCCCUUACGCUCUGGGCUACACACGUGCUACAAUGGUCGUGACAAAGAGUUGCUAGUCUGCGAAGGCAAGCCAAUCUCAUAAACG